ensembl:lncRNA
AACUAUGUCAUCCCACUAAGAGUCUCAGGUACCAACCAUUCAGUUCAGUAGAGGAGCGGAGCCCUAGGUCAUCUGACACUUGGCAGGAGCCUGGGGCUUUCGUGGGGCACGGCUGGACUGGGCUCACCCAGCUGGAUAGCCCCUGCAGCAUGGCUGCUGGCUGAGCCCAUCAAUCCAACACCGCUCACAGCAUUUACUUGUUUGUUCAGGUCAUCACGAUCACGCUGUGAGCAAGCAUGUUCCCAGGUGGUGUGAGAGCUGGGACAUAGGAUAAGGAGCUGCCGAAGGCCCAGCAGACAAAGCACAGCAACCUCAGUGGGCAGCUGCCUCCCAGGGUGUCUGCCCCGCUGCCACUCCUGUGAUUAUGUCAUUUUCCUGAGCAAAGGGGCUUGGCAGAUGGAAUUAAAGUUACUGAUCAAUACCCUUUGGCAGGAUAAGAUCCCGGUGGGCCUAAUCUAAUCACACAAGCCCUUACGAACUGACAGCCUUCUCUGGUUACGGGCACAAGGGCAGGUCCGAUCUGUCAGGAGCUGAGCUGAGAGGUGUGAGUAGGUAACAUGGCAAUGCACAAGGGACAUAGAUAUGUCUUUGAGAUACUGAUUCCAUUUCCCUCAGAUAUACACCCAGAAGUGGGAUUGCUGGGUCAUAUGAUAAAGGGCCUGUUAUAUGGGCUGCUCCCCUGGAAGCACACCCUCCCCAAUCCAGGGAGGUGGGUGAGACGCCUGCUCUCAGGAGCCUAUAGUGUUGGAAGCGUCGGCUCCCUCUCUGACUCAGACACAGGGCCCUGAUGGCGUCUGUCCCUCACAGUUGUCAACCUCAGGAGACUGAGUCACCUGGUGCACAGGUGUGCAGCCUCACUGAG